AACAGGAUUAGAUACCCUGGUAGUCCACGCCGUAAACGAUGAGUGCUAGGUGUUGGGGGGCUACGCCCCUCAGUGCCGAAGGUAACCCAUUAAGCACUCCGCCUGGGGAGUACGGCCGCAAGGCUGAAACUCAAAGGAAUUGACGGGGGCCCGCACAAGCGGUGGAGCAUGUGGUUUAAUUCGAAGCAACGCGAAGAACCUUACCAGGGCUUGACAUCCCGCUGACCCCUCCAGAGAUGGAGGUUUCCUUCGGGACAGCGGUGACAGGUGGUGCAUGGUUGUCGUCAGCUCGUGUCGUGAGAUGUUGGGUUCAGUCCCGCAACGAGCGCAACCCUUGUCGUUAGUUGCCAGCAUUUCGGAUGGGCACUCUAACGAGACAGCCGGUGAAAGCCGGAGGAAGGUGGGGAUGACGUCAAAUCAUCAUGCCCCUUAUGUCCUGGGCUACACACGUGCUACAAUGGCUGGUACAAAGGGCAGCGAACCCGCGAGGGGGAGCCAAUCCCAAAAAGCCAGUCUCAGUUCGGAUCGCAGGCUGCAACUCGCCUGCGUGAAGCCGGAAUCGCUAGUAAUCGCGGAUCAGCAUGCCGCGGUGAAUAUGUUCCCGGGCCUUGUACACACCGCCCGUCACACCACGAGAGUCUGCAACACCCGAAGUCGGUGAGGCAACCAUUUUGGAGCCAGCCGCCGAAGGUGGGGCAGAUGAUUGGGGUGAAGUCGUAACAAGGUAACC
rnacentral:rRNA from 1 species